rnacentral:rRNA from 1 species
UACGUGGGGGGCAAGCGUUGUUCGGAAUUACUGGGCGUAAAGGGCUCGUAGGCGGCCAACUAAGUCAGACGUGAAAUCCCCAGGCUCAACCUGGGAACUGCGUCUGAUACUGGUUGGCUUGAAUCCGGGAGAGGGAUGCAGAAUUCCAGGUGUAGCGGUGAAAUGCGUAGAUAUCUGGAGGAAUACCGGUGGCGAAGGCGGCAUCCUGGACCGGCAUUGACGCUGAGGAGCGAAAGCCAGGGGAGCAAGCGGG